CCUACGGGGGGCAGCAGUCGAGAAUCAUUCACAAUGGGGGAAACCCUGAUGGUGCGACGCCGCGUGGGGGAAUGAAGGUCUUCGGAUUGUAAACCCCUGUCAUGUGGGAGCAAAUUAAAAAGAUAGUACCACAAGAGGAAGAGACGGCUAACUCUGUGCCAGCAGCCGCGGUAAUACAGAGGUCUCAAGCGUUGUUCGGAAUCACUGGGCGUAAAGCGUGCGUAGGCUGUUUCGUAAGUCGUGUGUGAAAGGCGCGGGCUCAACCCGCGGACGGCACAUGAUACUGCGAGACUAGAGUAAGGGAGGGGGAACCGGAAUUCUAGGUGUAGCAGUGAAAUGCGUAGAUAUCGAGAGGAACACUCGUGGCGAAGGCGGGUUCCUGGACAUUAACUGACGCUGAGGCACGAAGGCCAGGGGAGCGAAAGGGAUUAGAUACCCUAGUAGUC
rnacentral:rRNA from 1 species